AAGUCGUAACAAGGUUUCCGUAGGUGAACCUGCGGAAGGAUCAUUAACACUUUCUUUCAAUACAUACCUUGGCGCACCCUCGGACCUUAUUUCGAUAAGCCACUGAGGGGAAAUAUCUGAGUCUGUUGGAAUGAAGGCCAUUGGAUCGGGCGAAAUCUCUUCGGGGAUUGGUCUGGUGGCGUCUGCUUCGGGUAGAAACUUCAAUUCUUUCAGAUAUACAGCCCUAACCCGGCUGGCCUUUUUUUUAACUUGCGAGAUCGUACUGAUUCGGGCUUUUCAGAUUGAGAGGAGCAAUCCUUUCUCUGGAGUCCUUAGUGGAGAAAUCCAUUAAAAAACAAAACACAACUCUUAACAGCGGAUAUCUCGGUUCUC
rnacentral:misc_RNA from 1 species